UGACAGGUUGAAGAUCCAUUAUCUAUACCUGCUCAUUUGCAUCCCGGGCCUUGUUUUAUAAACAUGAUUUUUCUCUUCCAAGGAUGAGGAAUGGGCCAUUUCCAUGGCGACCGCAUCCACUGAGCAGGUCCAAUUCAUCUGGAUUUGAAGCUUAAUGCUGGUGAGUGCUGUGGUAAGUCCAAUAAAAAACAUGAUAUAGAAUUACAUUGACCCUUAGUCUAGAUAAAUUGGACAUAGAUGGUCAUUGUGGAAACGGUCGAGUCCAGCUGUGAUUAUACAGAUUUCCCCUGAUGACACACGGGGAGAGUAUCUCAACUUUAAUGUUCAAUUGUGGAUGAUUCAAAGAAUACUUUACUUUAGUUUCCAUUUUUCUAACCGGCAGGCCGCUGUUGUUCAGUGAAGCUGUCACACUGGGAGAAGAAUCAAAGCAAUAUGUUGAAAAAGUCAAGGUCGUGAAUCUACAAUGAGCCAAACGGCACACGGAGAGCAAUCUGUGAGGGUUUGAAAUGUGGCCAGAGAAUUGAUUUUACUGACACACGCAGUAUGUAUAUAUAUAUACAUACAUGAAGCUUAACCUAAGGGAAAUAACAUUACUGCUAACAAAGCCUGGAGCCACACAGACGAGCUGUUUGAAGGCAGAAUUUGUCUGUUUGAUUCAAAUCAAGAUGAAUAUUUGAUGCUGGUGGGCAGGUCUGUAACACUGUGUUGAGUUUGUUUUAUCAAUUCUUAAUGAAUUCUCUUUAAAUCUGUUUAUUUCUCUGGGCUUUAGCUUUGUAAGCCGGUGCUCAGUGGUAGAUUGUUGCUGUGUUGUCACUAUUUCAAUUACACUUUGUAAUCAGAGAAUAUCCGAUCAGAUUAGAAACGACUUUAUUCGUCCUUUUUGGAAGAUUCCAUUUAGGAAAUUGAUGUUCCAUUUUAAUGUGAAAAGCCAACAUCAGACCUCAUCUCCCAGAACGUUUACAUGCAUUAAAACAAAAUUGACUUAAUGCAAUAAUGCGACUGAAACCAGAGUUACAGAGUACGUGUUAGUCUGACUGAAAUCAAACCCUGAAUAAUCCAGUUUUUCUGUCUGUUUUGAUUGGUAAUACAUCAAAUGUGUCAAACUACAGCAUGCACAAUAUAACAUUUAUAUAACGUCAUCGCUGUGACAAAGACGUACAGAUGAAAUGUGAAUCAGCAGAAGCUGCAGCUGCCGGAGUAACUGUCAAGAAUUUCUAAUAUCAUCUCAAAAGUUAAAGUAAUCACGUAAUGAAAGUUCUAACUGCACUUGUUGACUCACCUUUUCUCAGGUAACGGAUCAUGGAUCUCAUCAGCUAAUGGCAGAUUUGGAGCAGAGUCCAGUUUACUGCUUCACCUGCUCUAUAGGAUGAGCUCCACACACGUCCACAG